rnacentral:rRNA from 1 species
GAGCAAUCAAGGAUUUAUCGCUGAAAGAUGGCCUCGCGUCCAAUUAGCUGGUUGGUGAGGUAACGGCCCACCAAGGCGACGAUUGGUAGCCGGACUGAGAGGUUGAACGGCCACAUUGGGACUGAGACACGGCCCAGACUCCUACGGGAGGCAGCAGUGGGGAAUAUUGCACAAGGGGCGCAAGCCUGAUGCAGCAACGCCGCGUGGAGGAAAACGGUUUUCGGAUUGUAAACUCCUGUUCUUAGUACGAAGAAG